rnacentral:rRNA from 1 species
UACGUAGGGUGCAAGCGUUGUCCGGAAUUAUUGGGCGUAAAGAGCUCGUAGGCGGCUCGUCGCGUCUGCUGUGAAAGCCCGGGGCUUAACCCCGGGUCUGCAGUGGGUACGGGCGGGCUAGAGUGCGGUAGGGGAGACUGGAAUUCCUGGUGUAGCGGUGAAAUGCGCAGAUAUCAGGAGGAACACCGGUGGCGAAGGCGGGUCUCUGGGCCGUAACUGACGCUGAGGAG